rnacentral:rRNA from 1 species
GACGAACGCUGGCGGCGUGCUUAACACAUGCAAGUCGAACGGAAAGGCCCUGCUUUUGUGGGGUGCUCGAGUGGCGAACGGGUGAGUAACACGUGAGUAACCUGCCCUUGACUUUGGGAUAACUUCAGGAAACUGGGGCUAAUACCGGAUAGGAGCUCCUGCUGCAUGGUGGGGGUUGGAAAGUUUCGGCGGUUGGGGAUGGACUCGCGGCUUAUCAGCUUGUUGGUGGGGUAGUGGCUUACCAAGGCUUUGACGGGUAGCCGGCCUGAGAGGGUGACCGGCCACAUUGGGACUGAGAUACGGCCCAGACGCCUACGGGAGGCAGCAGUGGGGAAUAUUGCACAAUGGGCGGAAGCCUGAUGCAGCAACGCCGCGUGCGGGAUGACGGCCUUCGGGUGGUAAACCGCUUUCGCCUGUGACGAAGCGUGAGUGACGGGAAUGGGUAAAGAAGCACCGGCUAACUACGU